UACAGAGGUCCCAAGCGUUGUUCGGAUUUACUGGGCGUAAAGGGUGCGCAGGCGGUCGGUUAAGUCGGGUGUGAAAUCCCAGAGCUCAACUCUGGAAUGGCGCUCGAAACUGGUCGGCUCGAGGACUGGAAGGGAGACUGGAAUUCCUGGUGUAGCAGUGAAAUGCGUAGAUAUCAGGAGGAACACCGGUGGCGAAGGCGGGUCUCUGGACAGUUCCUGACGCUCAUGCACGAAAGCCAGGGGAG
rnacentral:rRNA from 1 species